rnacentral:rRNA from 1 species
CCUACGGGUGGCUGCAGUGGGUAAUAUUGGACAAUGGGGGGAACCCUGAUCCAGCCAUGCCGCGUGUGUGAAGAAGGCCCUCGGGUUGUAAGCACUUUCAGUGAGGAAGAACGCCUGGUGGUUAAUACCCAUCAUGAAAGACAUCACUCACAGAAGAAGCACCGGCUAACUCCGUGCCAUCAGCCGCGGUAAUACGGAGGGUGCGAGCGUUAAUCGGAAUUACUGGGCGUAAAGCGCGCGUAGGUGGCUUGAUAAGCCGGUUGUGAAAGCCCCGGGCUCAACCUGGGAACGGCAUCCGGAACUGUCAAGCUAGAGUGCAGGAGAGGAAGGUAGAAUUCCCGGUGUAGCGGUGAAAUGCGUAGAGAUCGGGAGGAAUACCAGUGGCGAAGGCGGCCUUCUGGACUGACACUGACACUGAGGUGCGAAAGCGUGGGUAGCAAACAGGAUUAGAUACCCUAGUAGUC